rnacentral:rRNA from 1 species
AGAGUUUGAUCAUGGCUCAGAUUGAACGCUGGCGGCAGGCCUAACACAUGCAAGUCGAGCGGUAGCACAGAGAGCUUGCUCUCGGGUGACGAGCGGCGGACGGGUGAGUAAUGUCUGGGAAACUGCCUGAUGGAGGGGGAUAACUACUGGAAACGGUAGCUAAUACCGCAUAAUGUCGCAAGACCAAAGUGGGGGACCUUCGGGCCUCAUGCCAUCAGAUGUGCCCAGAUGGGAUUAGCUAGUAGGUGGGGUAACGGCUCACCUAGGCGACGAUCCCUAGCUGGUCUGAGAGGAUGACCAGCCACACUGGAACUGAGACACGGUCCAGACUCCUACGGGAGGCAGCAGUGGGGAAUAUUGCACAAUGGGCGCAAGCCUGAUGCAGCCAUGCCGCGUGUGUGAAGAAGGCCUUCGGGUUGUAAAGCACUUUCAGCGGGGAGGAAGGCGAUAAGGUUAAUAACCUUGUCGAUUGACGUUACCCGCAGAAGAAGCACCGGCUAACUACGUGCCAGCAGCCGCGGUAAUACGGAGGGUGCAAGCGUUAAUCGGAAUUACUGGGCGUAAAGCGCACGCAGGCGGUCUGUCAAGUCGGAUGUGAAAUCCCCGGGCUCAACCUGGGAACUGCAUUCGAAACUGGCAGGCUAGAGUCUUGUAGAGGGGGGUAGAAUUCCAGGUGUAGCGGUGAAAUGCGUAGAGAUCUGGAGGAAUACCGGUGGCGAAGGCGGCCCCCUGGACAAAGACUGACGCUCAGGUGCGAAAGCGUGGGGAGCAAACAGGAUUAGAUACCCUGGUAGUCCACGCCGUAAACGAUGUCGAUUUGGAGGUUGUGCCCUUGAGGCGUGGCUUCCGGAGCUAACGCGUUAAAUCGACCGCCUGGGGAGUACGGCCGCAAGGUUAAAACUCAAAUGAAUUGACGGGGGCCCGCACAAGCGGUGGAGCAUGUGGUUUAAUUCGAUGCAACGCGAAGAACCUUACCUGGUCUUGACAUCCACAGAACUUNUUGGUGCCUUCGGGAACUGUGAGACAGGUGCUGCAUGGCUGUCGUCAGCUCGUGUUGUGAAAUGUUGGGUUAAGUCCCGCAACGAGCGCAACCCUUAUCCUUUGUUGCCAGCGGUCCGGCCGGGAACUCAAAGGAGACUGCCAGUGAUAAACUGGAGGAAGGUGGGGAUGACGUCAAGUCAUCAUGGCCCUUACGACCAGGGCUACACACGUGCUACAAUGGCAUAUACAAAGAGAAGCGACCUCGCGAGAGCAAGCGGACCUCAUAAAGUAUGUCGUAGUCCGGAUUGGAGUCUGCAACUCGACUCCAUGAAGUCGGAAUCGCUAGUAAUCGUAGAUCAGAAUGCUACGGUGAAUACGUUCCCGGGCCUUGUACACACCGCCCGUCACACCAUGGGAGUGGGUUGCAAAAGAAGUAGGUAGCUUAACCUUCGGGAGGGCGCUUACCACUUUGUGAUUCAUGACUGGGGUGAAGUCGUAACAAGGUAACCGUAGGGGAACCUGCGGUUGGAUCACCU